UGAGGAAUAUUGGUCAAUGGCGAGAGCCUGAACCAGCCAAGUCGCGUGAGGGAGGAAGGUCCUACGGAUUGUAAACCUCUUUUGCCGGGGAGCAAAGAGGCCAUUGAUGGCAGGAUGAGCGUACCCGGAGAAAAAGCAUCGGCUAACUCCGUGCCAGCAGCCGCGGUAAUACGGAGGAUGCGAGCGUUAUCCGGAUUUAUUGGGUUUAAAGGGUGCGCAGGCGGGCGUCUAAGUCAGCGGUGAAAGUUCCCGGCUCAACCGGGUCAGUGCCGAUGAUACUGGGGGCCUUGAAUGCGGUCGAGGCCGGCGGAAUGUGGCGUGUAGCGGUGAAAUGCAUAGAUAUGCCACAGAACACCGAUAGCGAAGGCAGCUGGCCGGCCUGCAUUGACGCU
rnacentral:rRNA from 1 species